GCUGUCGGUUCGCCGCCUGUCGGUGUUAACUGGCAUGUUCUGUGGAACGUCCUGCCGGUGGUGGUCCGGGCUCUCGUUCUGCGUAAGGGUUUCCCGAAGCAGGGCGAAAAGUUCCGGCCGCCGGUUCAAUCCCGCCACGGUGCUCUUCACCGAGUGUCGAGGUGGGCCGGCACUUUUACUUUGAACAAAUUAGAGUGCUUAAAGCAGGCGGUUUCCGCCUGAAUACUGUGUGCAUGGAAUAAUAGAAUAGGACCUCGGUUCUAUUUUGUUGGUUUUCAGAACCCGAGGUAAUGAUUAAUAGGGACAGGCGGGGGCAUUCGUAUUGCGACGUUAGAGGUGAAAUUCUUGGAUCGUCGCAAGACGAACCUAAGCGAAAGCAUUUGCCAAGUAUGUUCUCGUUAAUCAAGAACGAAAGUUAGAGGUUCGAAGGCGAUCAGAUACCGCCCUAGUUCUAACCAUAAACGAUGCCAGCCAGCGAUCCGCCGAAGUUCCUCCGAUGACUCGGCGGGCAGCUUCCGGGAAACCAAAGCUUUUGGGUUCCGGGGGAAGUAUGGUUGCAAAGCUGAAACUUAAAGGAAUUGACGGAAGGGCACCACCAGGAGUGGAGCCUGCGGCUUAAUUUGACUCAACACGGGAAACCUCACCAGGCCCGGACACCGGAAGGAUUGACAGAUUGAGAGCUCUUUCUUGAUUCGGUGGGUGGUGGUGCAUGGCCGUUCUUAGUUGGUGGAGCGAUUUGUCUGGUUAAUUCCGAUAACGAACGAGACUCUAGCCUGCUAACUAGGCGAUUCCCGGUACCCACAAUAGUGUUACCGGCGAUUCAAUUUCUUCUUAGAGGGACAGGCGGCUUCUAGCCGCACGAGACUGAGCAAUAACAGGUCUGUAAUGCCCUUAGAUGUUCUGGGCCGCACGCGCGCUACACUGAAGGAAUCAGCGUGUCUUCCCUGGCCGACAGGCCCGGGUAACCCGUUGAACCUCCUUCGUGCUAGGGAUUGGGGCUUGCAAUUGUUCCCCAUGAACGAGGAAUUCCCAGUAAGCGCGAGUCAUAAGCUCGCGUUGAUUACGUCCCUGCCCUUUGUACACACCGCCCGUCGCUACUACCGAUUGAAUGAUUUAGUGAGGUCUUCGGACUGGUGCGCGGCUGUCGGAUCUCUGGCAGCCGAUGUUGCUGGGAAGAUGACCAAACUUGAUCAUUUAGAGGAAGUAAAAGU
rnacentral:rRNA from 2 species